GAAGGUAACAGAACGUCCUGCCUCAUAGGUAAAGACACUAGGCUCAUUACCGAAGUGAGAACGAUAGUAAGACGCAGGAGUGAGUAUGUAUAUAUGAGUAGCAGUACUUGAUAUAUCAAAGCCGUAAAUCCAAGGG
rnacentral:rRNA from 1 species